AAAUUUAGAAAGCGUAGUCAUUCGUAUAGUUGUAUUUUGAAACGUCAAUCAUUUUUUGAUUUAUAACCCAACUAACUAUCUACUCUCAUUGAGCUGCAAAAAAACGAUUUUUGUGUUUUGGGUAUAGCAUAAGCCUCCUUCAAAAAUCGGCACUCCCAUCUUACCCUGACCAGGUUUGAAAGAGGCACCCAUGCAAAAUUUAACCCUCCUAGGUUCAACGUUGAGGGCAUAAAGGACAAACUCUAUUUUAUGUAUAUACAGAUUAUCAUUGUUGUGCUUCAUACUUCCAUCCUUUUGUGUUUAAUAAUCCCUCCACAAAGAAUAUACAGGGUGCACGCAAAGUUCUGUUAAAUUUUCAUUUAAGUACUAAUGAUAUACCUAAUUAUAUAAUUUGUAUAUAAUUAUAGACAUAGUUCAACACAAGUUCCAAAAAUAUGUGACAAACUUUCCAUUCGAAAUGGGGAAACUUAGACAUGGCCUCAGCUAGAAGUGUCUCUGGAAAGGACUUGUAUGCUGCAAGCCCAAUUCCCACGGGGAUGGAGUCUAGGCAAAAAGCAGUUUAGUCUUUAGAUCGUCCAAAUUCUUGCUUGGUGUCACAAAGGCUCUGCUCUCAAGAAUGGACCACAGGGAGUCAUCCAUGACGUUUACGUCAGGGCUAUAGGAGUACCGGACUAUAUUGUCCAGAAUCCAUCCAAAUUGGCCUCAGAUGACCGCUGCGUCUCUCUUGAUGUGUGGGAAGGGGUACUAUUCUGAUGGAAUGUCUAUGGCUCAUUCUGGAUGUGCUGUUGGGCCCAGGCAACAAGAUCUUGCUACUGGAGGGGCCUGAUGUACACAUUAGUGUAGAUCUUCAGCCCGCCCGACAAAAACACCAAGAGGUACUUCUUUGUCUCAGUCACAGCCACCCAUACCAUCACAGACUGUAGCUUCUGUACUCUGUUGACUCUAUGGUCACCCAAUUCACCUUUUUCGGCCAGAAUCCGAUCAUUUUGGGGGUAAAAAGCCUGUUCGACAGUGAAAAUCUUACCAUCACUGAACACAAUUAUUAAUAUUAAAUGUCCAAUCAAACAAAACAACAAGGCCAAUUCUUGAGAAUUAUCAUAACAAAUAUGACAAACAUCGCGGCAACUUCUGAUUAUACCGAACUCGGGACACACAGAUUUCCAAUGACGAAUGAAUAUUUGUCUGCUGCAAUAUGUAUCGUAUCUUUGAUCCAAACAUGUUUGUUUAUAUUUAUUAUAUACAGCUUCCCUGUUCCAAUGACUCGGGAAACGUAUAGUUUUGAGAUCAUAAUAAGAUGCAAUUCUUCCUCGGUACAAGAACACCAUGAUCCUUCAUUAGGCACUCCAGAAAAUAUUUAAUACCUUCUCUCCUUUCGUAUAUAUUUCGAUUGUACAGGUUAUUAAAUUUUGGGUUAAUUUAUUAUAUUUAUGUUUGAACCCAUUCUUUAAAUAAGGAGUAUUGUAGUGGUCUUCUCAAUUGAACACAAAAAUAACAACAUUUAAGCAUUAGAUGCACAAAACUUUUUAAACUGACUGUGGAUACGUAGACGGUAAAAAAAUCUAAAAUUAACUUUCGAACCUUCAGGGUGAUAGUAUAUCAAAUCCCAAGUGUAUUUCCAUAUUCGAUUAAAAUAAUUUUGAUUUUUUUUUUGCCAAAAUCAGAGUAUUUUGCAGCUGUCAAAAUAAGAAUCGCCUUCUGUCAGCUUUUCUGCUAUUUGACAUCUACAUCUCGAGAGAGCUAACUCAAUAGCACAAGUUUUUGUAGAAUCACUCGAAUUAUUUGAAGUGAGCCCGUAUAAAAAACAUGGCAGUAACGAAUUUAUCACUUAUUCCUGCUAUGUUAAGCAAUAUGAUUUUUUUUCAGUUUACGUAGUGAAGGGUAGUCCUUAAAAGUAUGAAUAAUUGUGUUAAACCAUUUUCCACAGUCCAAGGAGCAUUGAAGAUAUUUGAAAUUGCAAAGUAAAUCGCUUUCCAUCAUUAACUUUAACAAUUGAACCCACGAUUCUAUUCUUCCAGGCUACUAAAUGAAGAUAAAAUUUGAAAUUGCAAUACAAGUUCCAGAAAACUACUAAGUCGUGUUGAAGUAGAUUAUGACAAAUGAAAAACAAUAACAAAAAGAUAAUCGAAAUUAUCCCUGUACAGCACCAAAAGAAAGAAGACUAUUUGAUGAAAAAAUGAAUAAUAAAUCAAUGCUGGUAUAAUUAGAUUUUCCAAAUCUUCGGCUGCAUCUUUACAUUUUGUUCCGAAUAUGAAUACGGUUGAGUGGUAUCUGCCUGAAAACUAUUACCUCUUAAAUUUUAAUACUGAUCCAUAUCGUUAAUCUCUUCCCCCAUCUCAAUGAUGUGUUCGCUUUACUUCAUGACACCAAACACUAUAGAAAAAUUGAUUUGAGUCUUGCAUAAUUUAAUAUACUAAUAAUAGAGGACCACAAAUACAAAAUGUCCGUCAUGACUCCUUUCGGACUCUACGAAUUCAAUUACGGUAAUGCUCCACUUCAAAUGUACAGAUAAUUAUUACACUUCAUUACAUAAUUAAAUGAAAUUUGGUUUGCAGUUUAACCACUCAACAGAUUUUACAGGAGAUAAUUAUUUUCAAUUUCCACUUUCUCAACUCUGGGGGAGAACUUAUUUAUGUUUGAUAAGAUGCUACAUCAUUUAAUUUACUUUUUUUUCAGUUCUCCUCGCAUGAUGUUAUAUUUUUAACUAUACAA
rnacentral:lncRNA from 1 species